CCCUUUCAAUUAACAAUAUUGAAGAAUUUUCGCCUAAUAGAAAAGAAGAUGCUGGGAAAUUUCAUGGAAAAUGUAAUGUGAAAAGGCUAAUAAUUGGGAGAGCUGCCACAAGAAAAUUCAGUCUCAAUUGCAAUAGCUUAGAAUACCGAUCAGAAUCUGGCUUCUAAACCCACCUGUUCAGCACUCCAAAGCACCAAGUUAAAGCAAACAAAACCCAACAAAUGGCAGAAGCUAUUGUUUCAUUUGUUACAGGAAAGCUUUCUGAUCUGCUCAUUGAAGAAGUAGUGUCACUGUAUGAAGUCCAUGGACAAGUUGACUUAAUAGACAGGGAGUUGACACGAAUACAGUGCUUCCUAAAAGAUGCAGAUGUGAAGCAAAAGGGAGAUGAAAGAGUGAAGAAUUGGGUCAGAGACAUAAGAGAUGUUGCUUAUGAUGUUGAAGAUGUCAUCGACAUCUUCAUCCUCAAGUUAAGAAGCAGACCCAAAAAACCAGGAUUCAUUGGGUUCAUCAAGAGGUCUAGAUUCUUUUUCAGUGAUUUGGAAGCUAGGCGUGAACUUGCCAAGGAGAUACAUAGUAUCAAGAUAAGGAUCCAAGAGAUAUCCACCAGUAGAGUAAGAUAUGGGAUUGAAAAUAUAGGUGGAGAGAGGGGUAGUUAUGCAUGUGAUAGAUUGAUUGAGCGGAGGCGAUCCUCUCCUCGGAUUGAUGAUCAUGAUAUCAUUGGCUUCGAUGAAGACAUCAAGAUGUUGGUGACGAGGUUACUUGAUCAAAAAACACCAAGGCGAAGUGUUAUUUCGAUUGUUGGGAUGGGUGGCUUGGGCAAAACAACUCUAGCCAAGAAAGUGUAUAAUUGUAACGAUGUUAAGAGACACUUUGAUGUUUGUGCUUGGGUUUAUGUUUCUCAAGAGUACAGUGGGAGAGAGCUUCUUAAUGAGAUUGGUAAAAAAGUUUUGAUGAUCGAGAAAGGCAUAUUGGCAGCAAUGAAUAGAGACGAUCUAGAGGAGAGAGUAUCCAGAGUGUUGAGCAAGAAGAGGUACUUGAUUGUCAUGGAUGAUAUAUGGAAUAUUGAGGCCUGGGAUGACUUAAAAGCCAUCUUUCCAGAUGUAAUGAAUGGCAGCAGAGUUCUAUUUACAACUCGCAAUAGGGAUGUAGCUAUUCACGGCGAUCCAAGGAGCCCUAUCCAUGAAUUACGUUUUCUAAACGAUGCUGAGAGUUGGAAACUAUUCACAAAGAAGGCCUUUUUAGAAGAAGGUGAUUCUAUUGCUUGUCCCCCCGAGUUGGAGGGAUUGGGAAAACAGAUUGUUGCCAAAUGCGGAGGCUUGCCUUUGGCAGUUGUUAUUCUUGGAGGGCUUCUCUCUAGAAAAGAGAAGGCCCCUGGUGUUUGGUUGAGGGUGUUGCAAAGUGUAGACUGGCAGCUGACUCAUGAUCCAAAGCAACUGAUGGAAAUAUUGGCUCUCAGUUAUAAUGAUUUGCCAUAUUAUUUGAAGCCAUGCUUCCUUUAUUUUGGACUUUUCCCUGAAGAUUCUGAAAUCCGAGUGGGAAAACUAAUCCUGUUGUGGAUAGCUGAAGGAUUUGUUCGACAAAGGGGUCAAGAAUCUAUGGAAGAUGUUGCUCAAGAUUUUUUGGAGGAGUUGGUUGAUAGAAGCAUGAUUCAAGUGGCUGAAAAGAGGCACAAUGGGAAAAUCAAGACUUGCCGCAUCCAUGAUCUUUUACGAGAUCUUGCAUUGUCUGAGGCAAAAGAAUGUAAGUUUCUUCAAAUCCUUGAGAACGUUAAUUUUUGCCCCUCUAUGACUUCAACACGUCGAAUUGCAGUCCAUACAACUCUUGAGACGUACAUGUAUUUUAGGCAGUCCAAUUCUCACCUUCGUUCAAUGUUGUGCUUCUCAAGAUAUGAAGAAUUUCAUAGGAGAGACCAAUGGACAUCCCUACUUCGAAGCCACAAGUUGCUUAGGGUGGUAGAUCUAGAGGGUGUGACUGCCCAUGUAUUACCGAAAGAGAUGAGAGAACUCAUUCAUUUGCGAUACUUGGGAUUGAAGAAUACUAAAUUGCAAAGAAUACCAUUCUCCAUUGAUAACUUAAGGAACCUGCAAACACUAGAUAUAAGGGGCACAAAGAUCAGCAGAGUUCCAAAUGAAAUUUGGAAGAUGCAAAGUAUAAGGCACUUGUAUUUUCAUAAGACUGCUAUAACAGGUAAUCCACCAUCUUAUGUCUCUUCAAUGAACCUUGCAACCUUAUCAACUGUAUCUAUUUAUGGUAAUAUAUGGAUUCCUAAUUUCUUGGGGAAGUUGACAAGUCUUAGAAAACUUGGAAUCCAUGGAUGUUUUGGUUCACAAGCUGAGGCAUUGUCCAAGUCUCUUCUCAAAUUAAUCAAUCUUGAAAAUUUUAGUUUAAUUGGCACUGAUCCAAUUUUGGAGCCCACUUUGAGGUUGAUUUUGAGUCAAAAUAUUCAUAAGCUGUAUCUUUCUGGACCUAUAGAGAAGCUUCCUGAACCACAACAUAUUCAGCCAAAUCUAAGCAAACUGUCACUGAAAAUGUCACAACUUGUGCAUGACCCAUUCACGACAUUGGAGAGACUACCUAAUCUUAGGAUGCUCAAAUUGUUAUCCAAUUCCUUUUCUGGAAGGAAAAUGAUUUGCUCUUCUGAUGGGUUUCCUAGGCUCCAUAUCUUGGAACUCCAGGACUUGGAUAAUUUAGAGGAAUGGCGAGUGGAGGAAGGAGCACUACCAAGCCUUAGACGCUUAUUUAUCAGUGGUUGCGGAGAACUGAAGAUGCUUCCUGAAGGAUUACAGUAUGUGACUAGUCUAAAAGAAUUGGUCGUGGAGGAUAUGCCUGAAACAUUUGAAGAUAGGAUUGAACAAGACAAUGGAGAUGAUUGGUAUAAAAUCCAACACAUCCCAUCUAUUGUUAGAAUGUAGGAUCAGCGUUCUCAUAUGGGGUGGAUUCUCCUGGUGCAAAAUAAAUGUGUUAUGCUCUUAGUUCUACAUGGAGAGAAGAUGUGGGACUUAGCAUGAAUACACAGGGAAAGAUGAAAGCAUCGUAUGGUAGUGCAGAAACAAGGACUCUUUGAGCACCAGAUCACUCGUGUAGUUCCCGUACGUCUGUCAUGUAAGCCUUGGCAGAUAAUUACUGGGUAGACUCACUGUGAUCACCUACUUGCUUCAUGUCAGUUAGCUACAAUCUCAUUCUAAAACCCCACACACUUCACUUCUAAACUGUUAGUUUUAAUUGUUUGUACUUUUAAUUUUUCUUUUGUUGGUUGAACUGUUGUAAAAUGUCUUCUGCCAACACUGGGGAGGAAAGCCUGGAUAUAACCAAUUUGUAUGCCUAGCCAAUUUUAGAGGGGCUGUGUGUAAAAUCAAGUAAUGACUCUAUUGCUUGCAUACUAGUCUCCUUUUGCUUAUUCUACUUAAGCCCACAACACUUGCCCAAAACAUAGUAUGUAACAGCAAUGAGGCCCAACAAAUAGUGCCCUU